rnacentral:tRNA from 1 species
GGAUGUAUAGUUUAGUGUUAGAGUGCUUGCCUAGCAUGCAAGAGGCCCUGGGUUCAACUCCCAGUAUCA